rnacentral:rRNA from 1 species
CUUGACGCUAGCGGCAAGCCUAACACAUGCAAGUCGAACGAGUGGCGGACGGGUGAGUAAUGUCUGGGAAACUGCCUGAUGGAGGGGGAUAACUACUGGAAACGGUAGCUAAUACCGCAUACCAUCGGAUGUGCCCAGAUGGGAUUAGCUAGGAGGUGGGGUAACGGCGCACCUAGGAGACGAUCCCUAGCUGGUCGGAGCGGAUGACCAGUCACACUGGAACUUAGACACGGGCCAGACUCCUACGGGAGGCAGCAGUGGGGAAUAUUGCACAAGGGGCGCAAGCCUGAUGCAGCCAUGCCGCGUGGAUGAAGAAGUCCUUCGGGUUGUAAAGUACUUUCAGCGGGGAGGCGUUACCCGCAGAAGAAGCACCGGCUAACUCCGUGCCAGCAGCCGCGGUAAUAC